rnacentral:rRNA from 1 species
UACGAAGGGGGCUAGCGUUGUUCGGAAUCACUGGGCGUAAAGGGCGCGUAGGCGGCUUUGUAAGUCGGGGGUGAAAGCCUGUGGCUCAACCACAGAAUUGCCUUCGAUACUGCAUGGCUUGAGACCGGAAGAGGUUAGUGGAACUGCGAGUGUAGAGGUGAAAUUCGUAGAUAUUCGCAAGAACACCAGUGGCGAAGGCGGCUGACUGGUCCGGUUCUGACGCUGAGG